rnacentral:sRNA from 1 species
GCUGGGAGUGGUGGCGCAUGGCUGUAAUCCCAGUGGCUUGGGAAGCUGAGGCAGGAGGAUUGGGAAUUCAAAGCCAGCCUCAGCAAAAGCUGAGGUAUUAAACAACUCAGUGAGACCCUGUCUUUA